ensembl:lncRNA
GUUUUGUCAAGGCUUGGUAAAUGUAUCAUCUUAAGAGGCUUUGUGGGACACCUACGCAUACACACACACACACACACACACACACACACACACACACACACACACACACACACACACACACACACACACACACACACACACACACACACACACACACACACACACACACACACACACACACAAACCGCUGGCACGGACACACCCGCUCACUAGAUUUGAAUAUUGAUUUAGAUUUAUAAACACAGGCACACACCCUGGGUUCUAUGAGUCGUCAUUUGCCUCUCUCUGUCCCGGUGGAAGGCCGGUGUCAAAGGUGGAGGCUGGUCGUAGCUGCUUUAUGAAGUAGCAUCACACGUCUUGCUGCAGUGAGGAAUGAGUUGAUAUGGGAAGGCAACGCUUUUGGCUCCAACAGUAACAAUGCAGCGUCGUGUAUCUCUGGACAGAUUCUGAUCCCAAGAAGAAUCUGUGGAUUAUGACCGAUGGAUUAAUAGGCACGAGACAAAAGACCCCUCCGCAUCUCGUCAGAUGUCAAGUUAUAUGUGUAUUCGUGUGUGUGUGUUUGUGUUCGUGUGCGUGUGUGUGUUUGUGUGUGUGUGAUGGUCGUGCUCGCAGCGACGGUUUGAUGGAAUGGAGCCGAGGUGGAGGAGUCGAGGUUGAGUAGUCUAGGUCGAGGACCCGAGGUGGAGGAGCCGAGGUGGAGGAGUCGAGGUGGAGGAGCCGAGUUGGAGGAGCUGAGGUGGAGGAGUCGAGUUGGAGGAGCUGAGGUGGAGGAGUCGAGGUGGAGGAGCUGAGUUGGAGGAGCUGAGGUGGAGGAGCCGAGGUGGAGCAUCACAGGUGUACCUUCAGGAGUUCGUCACCGAGCAAACAGCCCGCCGCCCCGCGCUGGAACCAACAACCACAAGACUUAUGGAAAACACAAGGACACAUAUAAGUCACGGGGAGACCUGUGUGUGUGUGUUCGUGUGUGUGUGUGUGUGUGUGAGCCUGUGUCUGUGUGUGUGUGUGUGUGAGAGACUGUGUGUG